rnacentral:rRNA from 1 species
GACGAACGCUGGCGGCGUGCCUAAUACAUGCAAGUUGAGCGCUGAAGGUUGGUACUUGUACCAACUGGAUGAGCAGCGAACGGGUGAGUAACGCGUGGGGAAUCUGCCUUUGAGCGGGGGACAACAUUUGGAAACGAAUGCUAAUACCGCAUAAAAACUUUAAACACAAGUUUUAAGUUUGAAAGAUGCAAUUGCAUCACUCAAAGAUGAUCCCGCGUUGUAUUAGCUAGUUGGUGAGGUAAAGGCUCACCAAGGCGAUGAUACAUAGCCGACCUGAGAGGGUGAGCGGCCACAUUGGGACUGGGACGCGGCCCAAACUCCUACGGGAGGCAGCAGUAGGGAAUCUUCGGCAAUGGACGAAAGUCUGACCGAGCAACGCCGCGUGAGUGAAGAAGGUUUUCGGAUCGUAAAACUCUGUUGGUAGAGAAGAACGUUGGUGAGAGUGGAAAGCUCAUAAAGUGACGGUAACUACCCAGAAAGGGACGGCUAACUACGUG